AAUCAACGCUGGCGGCGUGCCUAACACAUGCAAGUCGAACGAGAAAGGGGGCUUCGGUCCCUGAGUACAGUGGCGCACGGGUGAGUAACACGUGACUUAUCUACCCUCGAGUGGGGAAUAACUUCGGGAAACCGAGGCUAAUACCGCAUAAUACCCACGGGUCAAGGGAGCAAUUCGCUUGAGGAGGAGGUCGCGGCCGAUUAGUUAGUUGGCGGGGUAAUGGCCCCACCCAAGACGGUGAUCGGUAUCCGGCCUGAGAGGGCGCACGGACACACUGGAACUGAAACACGGUCCAGACUCCUACGGGAGGCAGCAGUGGGGAAUUUUGCGCAAUGGGGGAAACCCUGACGCAGCAACGCCGCGUGGAGGAUGAAGUCUCUUGGGACGUAAACUCCUUUCGAUCGGGACGAUUAUGACGGUACCGGAAGAAGAAGCCCCGGCUAACUUCGUG
rnacentral:rRNA from 1 species